AGAGUUUGAUCCUGGCUCAGAACAAACGCUGGCGGCGUGCCUAACACAUGCAAGUCGUACGAGAAAGUCCGCUUCGGUGGAUGAGUAAAGUGGCGCACGGGUGAGUAACGCGUGGAUAAUCUACCCUUUAGUCUGGAAUAACUUAUCGAAAGGUGAACUAAUACCGGAUAAUAUCCCGAUUUCUUCGGCGAUCGGGAUCAAAGAAGGCCUCUGCUUGCAAGCUUUCACUGAAGGAUGAGUCCGCGUACCAUUAGCUAGUUGGCAGGGUAAUGGCCUACCAAGGUUAUGAUGGUUAGCUGGUCUGAGAGGAUGAUCAGCCACACUGGAACUGAAACACGGUCCAGACUCCUACGGGAGGCAGCAGUGAGGAAUAUUGCGCAAUGGGGGCAACCCUGACGCAGCAACGCCGCGUGAGUGAGGAAGGUUUUCGGAUUGUAAAGCUCUGUCGAGCGGAAAGAAGUGCAUGGUGGUUAAUAUCCAUCAUGCUUGACGGUACCGCUAAAGGAAGCACCGGCUAACUCCGUGCCAGCAGCCGCGGUAAUACGGGGGGUGCAAGCGUUGUUCGGAAUCAUUGGGCGUAAAGCGCGUGUAGGCGGCUGGACAAGUCAGAUGUGAAAGCCCUGGGCUUAACCCAGGAAGUGCAUUUGAAACUGUUCAGCUAGAGUAAGGGAGAGGAAAGUGGAAUUCCUGGUGUAGAGGUGAAAUUCGUAGAUAUCAGGAGGAACACCGGUGGCGAAGGCGACUUUCUGGCCCUAUACUGGCGCUGAGACGCGAAAGCGUGGGUAGCAAACAGGAUUAGAUACCCUGGUAGUCCACGCUGUAAACGAUGUUCACUAGGUGUUGGGGGUAUUGACCCUUCCAGUGCCGCAGCUAACGCAUUAAGUGAACCGCCUGGGGAGUACGGUCGCAAGAUUAAAACUCAAAGGAAUUGACGG
rnacentral:rRNA from 1 species